GGCUGGUCCGAUGGUAGUGGGUUAUCAGAACUUAUUAACAUUAGUGUCACUAAAGUUGGUAUACAACCCCCCACUGCUAAAUUUGACUGGCUU
rnacentral:Y_RNA from 1 species